UACGGAGGGGGCUAGCGUUGUUCGGAAUUACUGGGCGUAAAGCGCACGUAGGCGGAUCAGCAAGUUAGGGGUGAAAUCCCGGGGCUCAACCCCGGAACUGCCUUUAAAACUGUUGGUCUGGAGGUCGAGAGAGGUGAGUGGAAUUCCGAGUGUAGAGGUGAAAUUCGUAGAUAUUCGGAGGAACACCAGUGGCAAAGGCGGCUCACUGGCUCGAUACUGACGCUCAGACACGACAGCAUGGGGAGCGAACGGG
rnacentral:rRNA from 1 species